AACGAACGCUGGCGGCAGGCUUAACACAUGCAAGUCGAGCGCCCCGCAAGGGGAGCGGCAGACGGGUGAGUAACGCGUGGGAAUCUACCCAUCUCUACGGAAUAACGCAUGGAAACGUGUGCUAAUACCGUAUACGUCCUUCGGGAGAAAGAUCUAUCGGAGAUGGAUGAGCCCGCGUUGGAUUAGCUAGUUGGUGGGGUAAAGGCCUACCAAGGCGACGAUCCAUAGCUGGUCUGAGAGGAUGAUCAGCCACACUGGGACUGAGACACGGCCCAGACUCCUACGGGAGGCAGCAGUGGGGAAUAUUGGACAAUGGGCGCAAGCCUGAUCCAGCCAUGCCGCGUGAGUGAUGAAGGCCCUAGGGUUGUAAAGCUCUUUCACCGGUGAGGAUAAUGACGGUAACCGGAGAAGAAGCCCCGGCUAACUUCGUGCCAGCCGCCGCGGUAAGAC
rnacentral:rRNA from 1 species